CAACCCAGUUUUACAGGGUGGAGGGUGGAGGGUACUAAACGAUUGGAGGGGCAUGGGUGGAAGUGUCAUAGGUGUCUUUUUUUAGAGGUGUAAUAGAGUUGGAGGAGGCAGGUUCUUCGUGCGGCGGUUCGUUUAGAGAAGAGAGGCACUGGUGUUGCAACGGCGGCGGCGGUGGAGACUAAGACCGAACGAGGCCGCGAACAACGCGGCGGCGAGUGUCUUUGCCGAUGAGGAGUGACGGGAGGGGAACUAGGGGGCGGUACCGCUGAAGGAGGCGCGGGGAUGUACGCCCGGUGUCGUUGGGAUCAAUGGUAUCCAGCGGUCGCCGGCGCGGAGUAGGCGAAACAGUGGGAUGUCGGGGCGCGAUGCAGAGACGUGCGCGGCGAGGUUCGAGCCGGUACCACCACGACUAGGCGGAGUCGUUAGAACUGAGGCUGCGGCGACUGCUAAGUCGUUCUGAGAGGAGGAGACUGGGCGAGAAGAGAAUGUGAUAAACCAAGAAAGACACCGUCCAGUACCGCUUAAGAAACGGCGGGUUAGACUGCUGUUAGCUGCGAUGGAACUAAUGAGUAGAACUAGGUGUAGGGUCGUUGCUGUAGUUACAGCGACGUGAACAAUUAGUCUCCUACGGAUUGUACUGUCAUUACUAGACGCACCCCACAAUUAGCCUCUCUGCUCUACCGAUAUAGAAAGUCUUAUAAAAGUGACCACCGUACAAGCAGACGACCUUCGUUAAGCGGAUCUCCCCUUUCCCGCAGGCAACAUGGCCUCCACAACCGGAGAUCGAACGACAGUUUCUGUACGAGAACGUCCCUUGGUCUCGUUACGAAAUUAAGAACGCUUGCGUAGUUACGUUACGUUCACACCGUGGGGCUAGGCGUACCUCGUCCUCCGGAAGCGUGCAGUCGGGUCCUAAUGCGGACUGCGUGCUGUCCAGGUACUAUGUCGUAAGGUCACCGCGUGACGGUCAGUCAAGGUCAUGACUUGUUACCCGUCCCACCACCAGCAAGUACGAUAUUGUUACAGUAUCUUCCGUAGGAGCCCUUCAAGUAUCUCUUCGAACAGUAGGUCGUACUUCCCACUACUUCUGCUUCUACUACGUACCGAUUCAACAACUAUCCUUUCCACAUCUUACCCCGAUUAUGUUCUAUCAAAAUCUAAAUGGAAUAUGUUACAGUAAAAGUACGAAUUAUACAUCCUCUAGUACAUGAUAGAAAAAGUCUAACACAAGGUACAUUACGUUGGCUCAACUAAUUUAUAUACUUUAGAAAGACAAAUAACCUAACGACGAGGAACGUGAUAACAAG
rnacentral:rRNA from 1 species